rnacentral:rRNA from 1 species
AUUGAACGCUGGCGGCAGGCCUAACACAUGCAAGUCGAGCGGAUGAAGGGAGCUUGCUCCUGGAUUCAGCGGCGGACGGGUGAGUAAUGCCUAGGAAUCUGACUGGUAGUGGGGGAUAACGUCCGGAAACGGGCGCUAAUACCGCAUACGUCCUGAGGGAGAAAGUGGGGGAUCUUCGGACCUCACGCUAUCAGGUGAGCCUAGGUCGGAUUAGCUAGUUGGUGGGGUAAAGGCCUACCAAGGCGACGAUCCGUAACUGGUCUGAGAGGAUGAUCAGUCACACUGGAACUGAGACACGGUCCAGACUCCUACGGGAGGCAGCAGUGGGGAAUAUUGGACAAUGGGCGAAAGCCUGAUCCAGCCAUGCCGCGUGUGUGAAGAAGGUCUUCGGAUUGUAAAGCACUUUAAGUUGGGAGGAAGGGCAGUAAGUUAAUACCUUGCUGUUUUGACGUUACCAACAGAAUAAGCACCGGCUAACUUCGUG